rnacentral:rRNA from 1 species
GACGAACGCUGGCGGCGUGCUUAACACACGCAAGUCGAACGGAAAGGCCCUGCUUUUGUGGGGUGCUCGAGUGGCGAACGGGUGAGUAACACGUGAGUAACCUGCCCUUGACUUUGGGAUAACUUCAGGAAACUGGGGCUAAUACCGGAUAGGAGCUCCUGCUGCAUGGUGGGGGUUGGAAAGUUUCGGCGGUUGGGGAUGGACUCGCGGCUUAUCAGCUUGUUGGUGGGGUAGUGGCUUACCAAGGCUUUGACGGGUAGCCGGCCUGAGAGGGUGACCGGCCACAUUGGGACUGAGAUACGGCCCAGACUCCUACGGGAGGCAGCAGUGGGGAAUAUUGCACAAUGGGCGGAAGCCUGAUGUAGCAACGCCGCGUGCGGGAUGACGGCCUUCGGGUUGUAAACCGCUUUCGCCUGUGACGAAGCGUGAGUGACGGUAAUGGGUAAAGAAGCACCGGCUAACUACGUG